GUGAGAAUCACAGUGCGGUUCUCCUCUGGCAUGGCAAUGGCAUUAUUGGCACGGAGGCCUCAAACACACAAUGCCCUGCCAAAGGAGAAUUGCCCUGCCAUUCAGAA
rnacentral:pre_miRNA from 1 species